rnacentral:rRNA from 1 species
AUACGGAGGGGGUUAGCGUUGUUCGGAAUUACUGGGCGUAAAGCGUACGUAGGCGGAUCGGAAAGUAAGGGGUGAAAUCCCAGGGCUCAACCCUGGAACUGCCUCUUAAACUCCCGGUCUUGAGUUCGAGAGAGGUGAGUGGAAUUCCUAGUGUAGAGGUGAAAUUCGUAGAUAUUAGGAGGAACACCAGUGGCGAAGGCGGCUCACUGGCUCGAUACUGACGCUGAGGUACGAAAGUGUGGGGAGCAAACAGGAUUAGAAACCCGAGUAGUCC